rnacentral:rRNA from 1 species
AGCGUACACGGUGGAUGCCCUGGCAGUCAGAGGCGAUGAAGGACGUGCUAAUCUGCGAAAAGCGCCGGCGAGGUGAUAUGAACCUUUGACCCGGCGAUGUCCGAAUGGGGAAACCCAGUGUGAUUCGUCACACUAUCGUUAACUGAAUACAUAGGUUAACGAGGCGAACCGGGGGAACUGAAACAUCUAAGUACCCCGAGGAAAAGAAAUCAACCGAGAUUCCCCCAGUAGCGGCGAGCGAACGGGGAGCAGCCCGGAGUCUGAAUCAGCUUGUGUGUUAGUGGAACGGUCUGGAAAGUCCGACGGUACAGGGUGAUAGUCCCGUACACGAAAAUGCACAGGUUGUGAACUCGAAGAGUAGGGCGGGACACGUGGUAUCCUGUCUGAAUAUGGGGGGACCAUCCUCCAAGGCUAAAUACUCCUGACUGACCGAUAGUGAACCAGUACCGUGAGGGAAAGGCGAAAAGAACCCCGGCGAGGGGAGUGAAAAAGAACCUGAAACCGUGUACGUACAAGCAGUGGGAGCCUACUUGUUAGGUGACUGCGUACCUUUUGUAUAAUGGGUCAGCGACUUAUAUUCUGUAGCAAGGUUAACCGUAUAGGGGAGCCGAAGGGAAACCGAGUCUUAACUGGGCGUUAAGUUGCAGGGUAUAGACCCGAAACCCGGUGAUCUAGCCAUGGGCAGGUUGAAGGUUGGGUAACACUAACUGGAGGACCGAACCGACUAAUGUUGAAAAAUUAGCGGAUGACCUGUGGCUGGGGGUGAAAGGCCAAUCAAACCGGGAGAUAGCUGGUUCUCCCCGAAAGCUAUUUAGGUAGCGCCUCGUGAACUCAUCUUCGGGGGUAGAGCACUGUUUCGGCUAGGGGGCCAUCCCGGCUUACCAACCCGAUGCAAACUACGAAUACCGAAGAAUGUUAUCACGGGAGACACACGGCGGGUGCUAACGUCCGUCGUGAAGAGGGAAACAACCCAGACCGCCAGCUAAGGUCCCAAAGUCAUGGUUAAGUGGGAAACGAUGUGGGAAGGCACAGACAGCCAGGAUGUUGGCUUAGAAGCAGCCAUCAUUUAAAGAAAGCGUAAUAGCUCACUGGUCGAGUCGGCCUGCGCGGAAGAUGUAACGGGGCUAAACCAUGCACCGAAGCUGCGGCAGCGACGCUUAUGCGUUGUUGGGUAGGGGAGCGUUCUGUAAGCCGUUGAAGGUGGCCUGUGAGGGUUGCUGGAGGUAUCAGAAGUGCGAAUGCUGACAUAAGUAACGAUAAAGCGGGUGAAAAGCCCGCUCGCCGGAAGACCAAGGGUUCCUGUCCAACGUUAAUCGGGGCAGGGUGAGUCGACCCCUAAGGCGAGGCCGAAAGGCGUAGUCGAUGGGAAACAGGUUAAUAUUCCUGUACUUGGUGUUACUGCGAAGGGGGGACGGAGAAGGCUAUGUUAGCCGGGCGACGGUUGUCCCGGUUUAAGCAUGUAGGCGGAGGUUCCAGGUAAAUCCGGUACCUUUUUAACGCUGAGGUGUGAUGACGAGGCACUACGGUGCUGAAGUAACAAAUGCCCUGCUUCCAGGAAAAGCCUCUAAGCAUCAGGUAACACGAAAUCGUACCCCAAACCGACACAGGUGGUCAGGUAGAGAAUACCAAGGCGCUUGAGAGAACUCGGGUGAAGGAACUAGGCAAAAUGGUGCCGUAACUUCGGGAGAAGGCACGCUGAUAUGUAGGUGAAGCCCCUGCGGGUGGAGCUGAAAUCAGUCGAAGAUACCAGCUGGCUGCAACUGUUUAUUAAAAACACAGCACUGUGCAAACACGAAAGUGGACGUAUACGGUGUGACGCCUGCCCGGUGCCGGAAGGUUAAUUGAUGGGGUUAGCGGCAACGCGAAGCUCUUGAUCGAAGCCCCGGUAAACGGCGGCCGUAACUAUAACGGUCCUAAGGUAGCGAAAUUCCUUGUCGGGUAAGUUCCGACCUGCACGAAUGGCGUAAUGAUGGCCAGGCUGUCUCCACCCGAGACUCAGUGAAAUUGAACUCGCUGUGAAGAUGCAGUGUACCCGCGGCAAGACGGAAAGACCCCGUGAACCUUUACUAUAGCUUGACACUGAACACUGGUCCUUGAUGUGUAGGAUAGGUGGGAGGCUUUGAAGCGUGGACGCCAGUCUGCGUGGAGCCGACCUUGAAAUACCACCCUUUAAUGGCUGGUGUUCUAACGUAGACCCGUAAUCCGGGUUGCGGACAGUGUCUGGUGGGUAGUUUGACUGGGGCGGUCUCCUCCCAAAGAGUAACGGAGGAGCACGAAGGUUAGCUAAUCCUGGUCGGACAUCAGGAGGUUAGUGCAAUGGCAUAAGCUAGCUUGACUGCGAGAGUGACGGCUCGAGCAGGUGCGAAAGCAGGUCAUAGUGAUCCGGUGGUUCUGAAUGGAAGGGCCAUCGCUCAACGGAUAAAAGGUACUCCGGGGAUAACAGGCUGAUACCGCCCAAGAGUUCAUAUCGACGGCGGUGUUUGGCACCUCGAUGUCGGCUCAUCACAUCCUGGGGCUGAAGUAGGUCCCAAGGGUAUGGCUGUUCGCCAUUUAAAGUGGUACGCGAGCUGGGUUUAGAACGUCGUGAGACAGUUCGGUCCCUAUCUGCCGUGGGCGUUGGAGAAUUGAUUGGGGCUGCUCCUAGUACGAGAGGACCGGAGUGGACGCACCACUGGUGUUCCGGUUGUGUCGCCAGACGCAUUGCCGGGUAGCUAAGUGCGGAAGAGAUAAGUGCUGAAAGCAUCUAAGCACGAAACUUGCCAAGAGAUGAGUUCUCCCAGAUUUAAAAUCUGUAAGGGUUGU